rnacentral:rRNA from 1 species
UGACCAGCGGAGGGAUCAUUACCGAGUUAUUCAACUCAUCAACCCUGUGAACAUACCUAAACGUUGCUUCGGCGGGAACAGACGGCCCCGUGAAACGGGCCGCCCCCGCCAGAGGACCCCUAACUCUGUUUCUAUAAUGUUUCUUCUGAGUAAAACAAGCAAAUAAAUUAAAACUUUCAACAACGGAUCUCUUGGCUCUGGCAUCGAUGAAGAACGCAGCGAAAUGCGAUAAGUAAUGUGAAUUGCAGAAUUCAGUGAAUCAUCGAAUCUUUGAACGCACAUUGCGCCCGCCAGUAUUCUGGCGGGCAUGCCUGUUCGAGCGUCAUUACAACCCUCAGGCCCCCGGGCCUGGCGUUGGGGAUCGGCGGAGCCCCCCGUGGGCACACGCCGUCCCCCAAAUACAGUGGCGGUCCCGCCGCAGCUUCCAUCGCGUAGUAGCUAACACCUCGCGACUGGAGAGCGGCGCGGCCACGCCGUAAAACACCCAACUCUUCUGAAGUUGACCUCGAAUCAGGUAGGAAUACCCGCUGAACUUAAGCAUAUCAAUAAGCGGAGGAA